GCAAGUCGAGCGGAAGGCCACUUCGGUGGUACUCGAGCGGCGAACGGGUGAGUAACACGUGAGUAAUCUGCCCCUGGCUUUGGGAUAGCCACCGGAAACGGUGAUUAAUACCGGAUAUGACCACUUCACGCAUGUGAUGGUGGUGGAAAGUUUUUCGGCCAGGGAUGUGCUCGCGGCCUAUCAGCUUGAUGGUGAGGUAAUGGCUCACCAUGGCUUCGACGGGUAGCCGGCCUGAGAGGGUGACCGGUCACACUGGGACUGAGACACGGCCCAGACUCCUACGGGAGGCAGCAGUGGGGAAUAUUGGACAAUGGGCGGAAGCCUGAUCCAGCAACGCCGCGUGAGGGAUGACGGCCUUCGGGUUGUAAACCUCUUUCGGUGGGGACGAAGCGCAAGUGACGGUACCCACUAAAGAAGCACCGGCCAACUACGUGCCAGCAGCCGCGGUAAUACGUAGGGUGCGAGCGUUGUCCGGAAUUAUUGGGCGUAAAGGGCUCGUAGGCGGUUUGUCGCGUCGGGAGUGAAAACGCCGUGCUUAACACGGCGCUUGCUUCCGAUACGGGCAGACUAGAGGUAUUCAGGGGAGAACGGAAUUCCUGGUGUAGCGGUGAAAUGCGCAGAUAUCAGGAGGAACACCGGUGGCGAAGGCGGUUCUCUGGGAAUGACCUGACGCUGAGGAGCGAAAGUGUGGGGAGCGAACAGGAUUAGAUACCCUGGUAGUCCACACCGUAAACGUUGGGCGCUAGGUGUGGGGU
rnacentral:rRNA from 1 species